rnacentral:rRNA from 1 species
UGGCGGCGUGCCUAAUACAUGCAAGUCGAGCGCAGGAAACCAGAUGACCCCUUCGGGGUGAUUCUGGUGGAAUGAGCGGCGGACGGGUGAGUAACACGUGGGCAACCUGCCUGUAAGACUGGGAUAACUUCGGGAAACCGGAGCUAAUACCGGAUAGUAUUUCCUUUCUCCUGAUUGGAAAUGGAAAGACGGUUUCGGCUGUCACUUACAGAUGGGCCCGCGGUGCAUUAGCUAGUUGGUGGGGUAAUGGCCCACCAAGGCGACGAUGCAUAGCCGACCUGAGAGGGUGAUCGGCCACACUGGGACUGAGACACGGCCCAGACUCCUACGGGAGGCAGCAGUAGGGAAUCUUCCGCAAUGGACGAAAGUCUGACGGAGCAACGCCGCGUGAGCGAUGAAGGCCUUCGGGUCGUAAAGCUCUGUUGUUAGGGAAGAACAAGUACGAGAGUAACUGCUCGUACCUUGACGGUACCUAACCAGAAAGCCCCGGCUAACUACGUGCCAGCAGCCGCGGUAAUACGUAGGGGGCAAGCGUUGUCCGGAAUUAUUGGGCGUAAAGGGCUCGUAGGCGGUUUCUUAAGUCUGAUGUGAAAGCCCACAGCUCAACUGUGGAGGGUCAUUGGAAACUGGGGAACUUGAGUGCAGAAGAGGAGAGUGGAAUUCCACGUGUAGCGGUGAAAUGCGUAGAUAUGUGGAGGAACACCAGUGGCGAAGGCGACUCUCUGGUCUGUAACUGACGCUGAGGAGCGAAAGCGUGGGGAGCAAACAGGAUUAGAUACCCUGGUAGUCCACGCCGUAAACGAUGAGUGCUAGGUGUUAGGGGGUUUCCGCCCCUUAGUGCUGAAGUUAACGCAUUAAGCACUCCGCCUGGGGAGUACGGCCGCAAGGCUGAAACUCAAAAGAAUUGACGGGGGCCCGCACAAGCGGUGGAGCAUGUGGUUUAAUUCGAA